GAUGGAGAACUGGCUCAGUGAAGAAGAGCUCUUGCUGUACUUGGGAAGACAGGUUUCAUCUCCCAGCACAAAACACCAUGGCUUGCAGUCUUUUCUAACUCCCUUUCCAGAGGCUCUGAUUCUCUCUCUUUUGGUGUCUGAGGGCAUCAGGCACAUACAUUGUGCACAUACAUAGGUAGGCAAAUACACAUAAAAUAAAAGAUGAAUUUUUUAUAAGCUAUCUUUAAAACAUUUAUUUCCUGCCAAAUCUAUUCACCCCCAAAUCCCAUAGAGGUUAACAUUUUUUACACUAGCAUAUAUAGUCUGGAUGGAUGGUCAUCUGUGACAAUCAGCAGAGCACAGAGACAACAGGACACUGGACAGACACUUCUGUUAACAAUUCUGAGUUUCAAAGUAUCCACUUCAGCUAUUCACUUCUUGUCCAUAUACACGGUGGCUCUGUCAGGGAUUGAAAAACUAAAAUCUAUUUUACAUUUUACAUUUAUGGUCACAAAUGUUUGCCUCCAUAAUGUAUUGUACCACCUGCAUGCCAGGGGCCAAGGGUGUCAGCAAAGGGUGGGUAUCUGUCAGAUGCCCUGGAAUCAGUUAGUAAAGGCUGUGAACCACCAUGUGGGUGCUGGGCGUUGAACCUGGGUCCUCUAGAAGAGCAACAAGUGCUCUCAACUGCCAAGUCAUUUCUCCAGCCCCACAUGAAGGAUUUAAGAAAAAUUCUUUUACCCCAUGUGUAUUCAUGCAUGCACACACACAUAUGCAAGAGCACAGGCAGCAAAGUUUAUCUGCCUAUGGGAGUCAGAGGACAACUUUAGGAACUUGGGUCUCUCCUUCCAGCACAUGGAUCCUUCCUGGCCAUUGUCUUGCCAGUUCUCCAUUGUAGGUUUUUAAACAGAAAUUGUGUUAGUAUUAUCUUAUAUUAUUCUUAUCCUAAUUUGAAUUCUUAUUUAUAACUAAGUGGAUUUUAUAACCCUUAGAAACCUUAUUGACAUGAUUUCUAAGGGAAAUAAAUGAUGAUAUGGUAGUUUUAUAAAUUAUAAGACUUAAAAACUGUUUAAGAUAACAGCUUUCAAUUAAAAAAAAAAAAACACCCCACAAAAGACAGGAAGCAAUAUGUACAGGUUAGCCUUAAUUAUCUCCAGAAAGUUAAAUGGACCCUUGUUAACUACGGCAUCAGGAUGUUCUUCAAUACUAAGAACCUGAAGAUUCACCGACACACCAUGCCUUGCCCUGGCAGGUUCAGAUAUUCCUUGGGAGUGCUGGUGAAACGGUUAGCCAGUCAACUGUGGUGUGAGCACAGGGACCUGACUUUUAUGAGGAUCCCCAGCAUCCUCAUAAAAGCCCGAGUGUGCCUGUAGUCCCAGCACAGGAGUGGGAGGGGAGACAGGCGCAUCCCUGAGGCUUCCUGGCCAGGCAGUUUAGCAGAAUGUGGAGGCUCUAGCUUCAGGAAAGCCUUUUCCUGAGAAGUUAAGCUGGCGAGGGACUGAGGAAGACACCCACUGUUGAUCUCUACCAGCCUGUGAGUUUCUAGUUAUCUGCUUUUAAGGUGCUUGAAAGUAACAUUUUCAUAUCUUAAUGUCUUUUUCAAAGAAGACAUUAUUAUCAAAGACUUUCUAAUCCAUCGCAAAACUAAUUCUAAAUUUCUAAACAAUCCCAAAUAUACCAGGCUUCACAUCUGCUUCGGUGGCAAACCCUGCUCUGUUGUAAAUUGCUUUUACUACUUAAGCACUGACGUGAGUCUAUUUCUGCCGUGUUCAUCUCAGUUAGUGGGACUGCUCAUGCCUCAUAUGCACAGUACUUUGUCACCUCAGGUCUCAGUAUGAAAAUACCUACCAACAAUCCAGGGACGGAGGAGGUCUGAGUUCUAGGCCAGCCCGUGGUCAGCCAGGCCAAUCAAAGCUACAAAUUGAGAAACCCCAUCUCAGAAAAACAAAACAAAACCAGAAACAACAUAGUCAAAUACAAUCAGCUUAACACUUUCAAAGGAGUGCAAGUAGCUGCUUAUGACAAUCCUCAAAGACAAAGCAUUCAAUUCUUUUCUUUUCUUUUUUUUUUUUUUUGAGACAGGGUUUCUCAUUGUAGUCCUGGCUGUCCUUGAACUCAGUAAUUCUCCUGCCUCUGCCUCCCAAGUGCUAGGAUUAAAGGCCUGCUUUCAAUUCUUUAUAUACUUUUUUUUUCAUUUAAGUUUUUAAAAUGGAGGGCUGGAGAGAUGGCUCAGCAGUUAAAAGCAUGUAUCACUCUAGUAAAGGGCCCAAGUUCCAGCACCCACACUGGGUGGCUAGCAACUUCCUGUAAUUUCAGUUUCAGGGCUCUGCGCACCUCUUCUGACAUCUGCAGGCAUCUGUACAACGUGGGUCAUACACAUACACCCAGGCACAUACAGAUAAAAAGUAGUCCUGGUGACACUGCCUGUAAUGUCAGGACUCAGGAGGCUGAGGCAGGACUGCUAGGAACUCAAGGUCAGUAAAAACUCCAACUCACCAUCCCAAACAAAACAAAACACUCAGCCAACGAACAAGAACACUUCACACUCCAGAGAAAUGUUACGUGUUUUUUUUGUCACUAAAAGCUUGCAAACGGCUUGCCACGGUGUACACACCUGUAAUCCCAUCAGGAAGCUGAGGCAGGAGGAUUUUCAGUUUAAGGGCAGACCCUGUUACACGGGGAAGCUCCAAAAUCUUAAGAACAGCAGCAGCAACAACAACAGCAGCGACAACAACAACAAUAACAACCAUAACAACAACAGCGACAACAACAACAACGGAGCCAGUAAAGCCUAUGAUUCAAGUGACAGUGCUUACUGAAAGGGAAAAAGCACAAGUGUAUAAAAGCUAGCUAAAAUGGAAGAAAUCUCACUAGCCAGGACUGCAUAAAUAGUACUUAGUGGCAACCUGUGAAGAAUUUGGAUGUCCUGGUCAUAAAAUCUGACUUCAGUAUGUUCCCUAAUUCAGAACCGUUAGGACACCCGAGCACUUAACUACUUCAUACAAGCAGAGUUACUUUAACUCUCCUCCCUCACCGGGGUUAGCUUAUGCAGGCAGAAGUUCUUUAGUCUCAAUCCCUGAAGUGGACACCGAACAUCGAUUCCUUCUCUAAAUCAAGCCGCAGUCCUGCUCUCUGGUGUCCCUGUCCUCUGAAGAGCGCUGUUCAAUGACCUGAGUUCUCUUCACAUCAUAUAAUCUCUGCCUUUCACGAAAGUGUUCAGUGGAAAGGAGCAAGUAUGGGUUUCUAACCAAUUUAUUUUUUAUUUUUCAUUGUGUUGUGUGUGGGUAGGUAUGUGCAUGUGAGUGCUUUGUUCCCAAGGAAGAAGUCAAAUCAUCGGACCCUAAGCUGGAGUCAGACAGCCGCUAGGGACCAAACCCAAGUCCUCUGCAAGAGCACCCCCAGAUCCCAAUAGCUGAGCACUUUUAACUAAAAUUUAAUUGUGUGUGCAUGCAUGCACAAAAACAUGCAAUGGUGUGCAUGGGAAGUCUGAGGACAACUUGAGGGAGUCAGCUGUCCCCACCAUGUGGGUUCUAAGCAUCUACUCAGGCUUGGUGGGAUGGUGUCUUUAACCUUGCUGAACUACUUUGCUGGAUGCUUUUUAACCAUGCUUUUUUUCAAGUCUUGCUUUGGCAAGGAUAGUCAUGUAAAAAAAAAUAAGAUACUACUUUCUACAGAAGUAUUGAAGAAUAGACCAAUCUAUUCCUUUGUAGCUUAAAUAAUAACCAAGAGGUUACAGGUUAGGGUCUUUUUCUAUCUGUAAGUUUCCCAGGUGGCCCACUUUGGUAGUUAGUAGUGAUCUGGUUACAAUUCACAGUCAUUCUUUCUCCUUCUACUCUACCAUGAGAUCAGAGGCCCCAGAAACCUUGAUUCCUCUUACCUUAGACCCUCAGUUUUGACCCCCAGAACUAAAACGUAAGUUAAGAUGAUUAGCCAGCAGUGAACCCACAAUUGACUCACCCACCACCUAGCAGCCUCCACAACCUGAAGCUAGUUAACAGAUCUAGAUCUAGGUGAUUCUAAUCUUUUAAAACUUCUGUUUAAAUAAAAUAAAUUAAAACAAAAAACAAAACUUCUCACUGUUUAACAAGAUUGUCACGAUUGUUCUUUAGUAUAAACACAGAAAAGAAACAGCAGUUUUUCAAAAGCAAAAACAGUGCCAUCAGGAAGCCUUUUUGAAAAAUGUCUGUUUAAUGUAGAUAUAUCAAAUUUUCUCAUGCCAAAGAAACAAAUUAAAAGCAAUAUGAAGCUGGUACAGUGGAAGCUUGUCAGCAGCCACAGCUACUCAGGGUCAAGUAGGCAGAUCACAGAAGCCCAGGAGUUUGAGGCCAGAGGCAAAAGAAGUGACAAGCCAAACCAGAAAUAAGCUUUAGAAGUAAUUAUCUAAAGUUAUGUGACCAAAGACGUGAAGCCUGCAAAGAAACUUCAACAAGCCAAUCACAUACCAUUAAGGAUUCUGAAAUGAAGUCCCAGCACUCAAGAUUUCCUGUUAAAUCUUCAGGAAUGGCUCAUUUCACUGUGGACUUUUUUUUUUUCAUAUGAUCCUUAGUUUCACAGAAAGAGGUUUCCCUCAACACUAAGGCUAUCAAGUGCCCAUUGCUGAGAAAAGCUUUUCAAAACCCCAAUUUUUCCUCAAGAGUAUUUACAAUCAUCCAUAGAUACUGUUAUUACUUGCCCUAAGACAACAAGCAGGUUUGUUGUUUUCAACACUAUGUCAGGGGCUGGAGUAAUGGCUCAGCAGUUGAGAGCACUGGCUGCCCUCCCAGAGGAUCAGGGUUCCAUGACCAGCAUUCUUAUGGCAGCUCACAACAGGUUCUGACUCCAGUCCGAGGGAAUUCAAUGCCAUCUUCUGGCAGCCAGGGACACUGCACUCAUGUAGUGCACAGACAUUCAAGCACGCAUACAUACAUAUGUACAUAUAUGGGCAGUUCAGGAAUGACUCAGUAGUUACAAGUACUUGCUGCUCUUGCUGAGGACCCAGUUCAAUUCCUAGCACCCAGUUGGUGGCUCACAAACAUCUAUUUCAACUCCAGUUACAGAAGAUUCAACGCCCUCUCUGAGGGUGUGCAUACACAAACAUGCAGGUAAAAUAUCCACAGGUACAAAAUAACAGUAAACCUAAAGACAAGUGGCUGGGUGGGCUCCUGAGACGGAAUCACUUUCCUUGGAGUCAUAUCAAAUAGACGUGCACACAGGGUGAGGCUUCAUUUUCAAACUACUUCAAGAACAUUUUAAACAGUCAGGGCAGUAAACAAUAUACCAGAGCUCUAAGACAAUUUACUCCAAGGAGUCACAAGUUGUGCUCACUGUUGGUCUUGCAUCAUAGAAAUAAAUGUCAAUAUAGUAAAAAAGAGCAAAGGAUAUCUUAGAGUUGCUGUCAUCACAAUCGUCACCAUCAUCACCAAUAACAGCCCUGUACUUGCAGACUCCCUCCAAACAUCUAAGCUAUCUGCAGGAUUCCUUGGAUUAUAACUGUGAAAAUCAAUGAGCAAAAUGAUUCAUAUUUAAACCUCCUCAAGUCUGGGAAUACAAAUGUUACGUCAGUCCACUCAAAGCUGAGGCAGGAGGAUGGCAGGUUUGAGGCCAGCUUGGGCAAUAUAGUAAGACCUUUUCUCAAAAGCAAAUCAACUGCUCCAAAAUAACACCUCACAUGACACUUGAAAAAUAUGCUUUUCAUUGAUUCUACAGGUGCCGGAAGCAUAGAUGCUCUAGAGAGCGAGUGUUACAGGAUGUCUGAUAUCUGUACAAACAUUUACAAGAGAGGCUUAGCCUCAAGUCCAACAUCUCCAUGUCUUCUUGCCAAGGAAAGCAAGGAAGAAAAAGCUUCAGAGAGGGAAGAACAUGUUUUCCCAAAGCACCAGUGCAGUGGAGAGAAGAGAGACUCUUCUCUCCUUACCUUCUGUACUGCAAAUAAUUUAACUCAACGGUAAAGCCAAACAUCUGAAAACUCAGCUGGAUACCAACAGAGUUUGUGUAGUAUCUCCAAAUUAGAGAAAUUCUAAGAUUAGGCAAACAUAUACUUUGGCCUUGUCCCCUUUUAUCUGAACAGUACAAUAUUUAAGAUUUCACAGAGAGCUAGAGUUGUAUAACUGAGAAGUUAACUCAUUACCUAAAAACCUAUAGUUUGUAUCCGUAUCUAACACAUUAAUAUAGUGUCCUACUAGCACACCAAGCUAACUUAAAACCCAGGGUACGGAAUGGAAUAUACAGGCUAUUUGCUGUCUAAAACUACUAAGUGGAUAAGAAGAGUUUGCAUUUGUAACAUUUUUUUUUAAUUGAAACCUCCAGUUUCAUUAUGAGAACUUAGAAAGUCCCCCAAUUCACUCCAAAGUGAUUAGUGCCUUGUCUAACAAGUGCAGAGCCCCAUGUUUGAGUCCUUCACAUUGCAAGUCAUCAUUGUGAUUGUGAGAACUACAUUCUAAUGUGAGGAUGAACUUCAGAAGACAGGCAAUUAGAGCCCAACUUUAGCCCAACUUUCUACUUCCUCCCCAAGCUCCACUUGAAACUGCUAAGUGGACAGAACAUUGCUCUCAUCUUUUUCCUAUCACACAAGACAAAGAGGAAAACCACAGAAGGAGAGCGAACCCGCCAAUGAAGCAACCAAUUCCCUUUUUAUUUUCAAAACAGGUAUGGUUUAAGUAAAGAAAAAAAAAAUGCAGAGACACAGUCUCACAUAGCCCAGGCUGGCCCCGACUUGCAGUGCAGCAAAGGCCGACAGAAGGUGUUUUUUCUUUGCCUCCUCAGAUGCUGGGAAUACAGGUACAGACCACCUCACGAAGCUGGGAGAAAAAUUAGUUGCUGAAAUAAAUUUUAAAUCUUCUACUUCAAAAGCUUUAACUCUGCAAUGUUUGUAACAGCUGCUCUCUAACAUUUCUAACUGGCUAUCUGCACCUCAAGUUCAAGGUCAAUCCCCAACCCUGGAAGAAGUAUCCAGCAAGUUAGCUCCUGAAGGCCUGACCUAGCUCGGACUGAACAGUCUCACCGAUAUAAAGUAGCACAACGGUAUGAAACAGUAGCUAAUAACCAGAAGCCUUAGGAACCAUUCAGUGUAUAAGAAUUCAAACUGACUAUAGUUAGAGAGCCAUACUCUUAAUCUAGACAUGAGUGUAUUUCAAUUCAAGCAUCUGCAAUGUAACCAAUCUUAAGUA